AACGAACGCUGGCGGCAGGCUUAACACAUGCCAGUCGAGCGAGACCUUCGGGUCUAGCGGCGGACGGGUGAGUAACGCGUGGGAACGUGCCCUUCUCUACGGAAUAGCCCCGGGAAACUGGGAGUAAUACCGUAUACGCCCUUUGGGGGAAAGAUUUAUCGGAGAAGGAUCGGCCCGCGUUGGAUUAGGUAGUUGGUGGGGCAAUGGCCCACCAAGCCGACGAUCCAUAGCUGGUUUGAGAGGAUGAUCAGCCACACUGGGACUGAGACACGGCCCAGACUCCUACGGGAGGCAGCAGUGGGGAAUCUUAGACAAUGGGGGCAACCCUGAUCUAGCCAUGCCGCGUGAGUGGUGAAGGCCUUAGGGUUGUAAAGCUCUUUCAGCUGGGAAGAUAAUGACGGUACCAGCAGAAGAAGCCCCGGCUAACUCCGUG
rnacentral:rRNA from 1 species